CUCCCACCCCGCGCAUCGCAACCCCAGGACUUCUGCAAAGCCGUGUUUUCCAGCUUGAAAUCUAAGGACGCCAAGAAAUCUAAGGAUGUUAAACACCCCAAGAAAGCCGACAACAGCACAAAAGCCCCCCCAGUGAACGCCAGGAAACCCCCACCAGCAAACGCCACAAGCCUCCCUGCACCGAACCCCGCCAACCCGCUGAAUCCCACCAACCCCGCACCGCGAGAGGCCACGAAACCCUGACCACCGAGCUCCUCCCAGGGUCCCAGAUGCCCGACUCAAGUCUCCUCGCGGGCCCAGGGAUCUCCUUCACAUUUUUUAUGAGAGGGGCCCUAACUCCUCCCACCCCACCCCCCAGGGAGAACAAUAAAGAGAAAUGGAAUGUC